rnacentral:rRNA from 1 species
UUGACCUCGGAUCAGGUAGGAAGACCCGCUGAACUUAAGCAUAUCAAUAAGCGGAGGAAAAGAAACCAACAGGGAUUGCCCUAGUAACGGCGAGUGAAGCGGCAACAGCUCAAAUUUGAAAUCUGGCUUCGGCCCGAGUUGUAAUUUGCAGAGGAAGCUUUAGGCGCGGCACCUUCUGAGUCCCCUGGAACGGGGCGCCAUAGAGGGUGAGAGCCCCGUAUAGUUGGAUGCCUAGCCUGUGUAAAGCUCCUUCGACGAGUCGAGUAGUUUGGGAAUGCUGCUCAAAAUGGGAGGUAAAUUUCUUCUAAAGCUAAAUACCGGCCAGAGACCGAUAGCGCACAAGUAGAGUGAUCGAAAGAUGAAAAGCACUUUGAAAAGAGGGUUAAAUAGCACGUGAAAUUGUUGAAAGGGAAGCGCUUGUGACCAGACUUGCGCCGGGCGGAUCAUCCGGUGUUCUCACCGGUGCACUCCGCCCGGCUCAGGCCAGCAUCGGUUCUCGCGGGGGGAUAAAGGUCCUGGGAACGUAGCUCCUCCGGGAGUGUUAUAGCCCGGGGCGUAAUGCCCUCGCGGGGACCG